rnacentral:rRNA from 1 species
ACGGCUCAGUAACACGUGGAUAACCUGCCCUUGGGUCCGGCAUAACCCCGGGAAACUGGGGAUAAUUCCGGAUAACGCACAUAUGCUGGAAUGCUUUAUGCGUAAAAUGGAUUCGUCUGCCCAAGGAUGGGUCUGCGGCCUAUCAGGUAGUAGUGGGUGUAAUGUACCUACUAGCCAACAACGGGUACGGGUUGUGAGAGCAAGAGCCCGGAGAUGGAUUCUGAGACAUGAAUCCAGCCCCUACGGGGCGCAGCAGGCGCGAAAACUUUACAAUGCGGGAAACCGUGAUAAGGGGACACCGAGUGCCAGCAUCAUAUGCUGGCUGUCCGGGUGUGUAAAAUACACCUGUCAGCAAGGGCCGGGCAAGACCGGUGCCAGCCGCCGCGGUAACACCGGCGGCCCGAGUGGUGAUCGUGAUUAUUGGGUCUAAAGGGUCCGUAGCCGGUUUGGUCAGUCCUCCGGGAAAUCUGACGGCUCAACCGUUAGGCUUUCGGGGGAUACUGCCAGGCUUGGAACCGGGAGAGGUAAGAGGUACUACAGGGGUAGGAGUGAAAUCUUGUAAUCCCUGUGGGACCACCUGUGGCGAAGGCGUCUUACCAGAACGGGUUCGACGGUGAGGGACGAAAGCUGGGGGCACGAACCGGAUUAGAUACCCGGGUAGUCCCAGCCGUAAACGAUGCUCGCUAGGUGUCAGGCAUGGCGCGUCCGUGUCUGGUGCCGCAGGGAAGCCGUGAAGCGAGCCACCUGGGAAGUACGGCCGCAAGGCUGAAACUUAAAGGAAUUGGCGGGGGAGCAC